rnacentral:rRNA from 1 species
AGAGUUUGAUCAUGGCUCAGGACGAACGCUGGCGGCGUGCCUAAUACAUGCAAGUCGAGCGGAUCUUCUUAAGUAGCUUGCUACUUAAGAAGGUUAGCGGCGGACGGGUGAGUAACACGUAGGCAACCUGCCCUCAAGACUGGGAUAACAUUCGGAAACGAAUGCUAAGACCGGAUACGCAGUUUGGUGGCAUCACUGAA